AUAAUCUAUUUAUACUUUUUAUACAUAUUUAUAUAUAAUUAUUAUUAUAAUAUUGAAUAAAAAAGUAUAAGAAAUUUUUUGAAUUAAAUCUUUCAAAUCAAAAUUAAUAUAAAAAAAAACAAGAUUUUCAACUAAUUUAAAAGAUAAAAUUAAUAAUAAGCGAAAAAAAAUAUACUUUCAAGUGAAACCUAACCUCGCAAAUGAAUACCGUUCAUUAUUAAUAUUAACCCAAUUCCUCUAUGAAAUAGUAUAUUAAUUUUUUCAUUUAUUUUAAAGAAAAAAAUGCAAUUAAUAAUGACAAGAAAAAAUCAUAGUCAAAUAUUUGCUAUAUUCAUUUUUUAUUUUUCGUUUGUUCAUAUUAAGAAACAUUAGGUAGUAGUAACUUCAAUGAUUUCAAUUCAUAGCGAACAAAGUCAAGGUGCAAUGAAUUUUCACAGAAAUUUUUUUUCGUGCAUCAAGAAUUGCAUGUACGAAACCAAUUAAAUCGUUCAAUGAAAUCUUGAAGUGGGAAACACGAUAAAUUUCAUUGAGUUAGUGCGCACGUGCAUGUUUAUAGCAUAGCCGUGAAAAAAAAAAUCUUCGUAAAAUGCGCCACUGCAUCCGAAAAGCAUUGUGAAUGCGACACGACCGACAUGUGAAAAUGAAAAAUCGCUCACUUCGACAGAAGAUACUCUAACACUUAGUGUUAUGUUUCACACACGCUCGAAAUGGCUACAAACGAACAAAACGAAGAUACGCAAAAUAAUGUAAAUCCUCAAGUCAGUUGGAGUACGCAGGAGUCAGAGCCGCACAACUCACAGUUGGUAGCAUCAAAUCAAGAACUGCAGAAUCAAACUCCAAAUCAGAAAGUAGAUCAAGAAUUUGCUAAAAUGACAGAUCAACGAGAACAACAACCUCAACCACAACAACAGCAACAGGCGCAACAGCAACAACAAACCAAAGGCAAUGAAGAACCAAGAACAAAUUUGAUUAUCAAUUAUCUUCCACAGAGUAUGACAGAAAAAGAUCUUUACAGUCUUUUUGUAACUAUUGGGCCUGUGGAAUCUUGUCGUGUUAUGAAAGAUUAUAAGACAGGGUACAGUUAUGGUUUUGGAUUUGUUAAUUAUGCAAAAGCUGAAGACGCAGCCACAGCUAUAAGUACUUUAAAUGGACUUCAAGUUCAGAACAAAAGGCUAAAAGUAUCUUUUGCACGACCAUCUGGUGAAGAAAUUAAAGAAACUAAUCUAUAUGUAACAAAUUUGCCGAGAAAUAUAACCGAAAGUCAGAUUGAUGAUAUAUUUAGUAAAUAUGGAAAUAUUGUGCAAAAAAAUAUUUUAAAAGACAAACUUACUGGAUUACCAAGAGGUGUAGCAUUUGUAAGAUUCGAUAAACGGGAAGAAGCACAAGAAGCGAUCGCACGACUACAUGGAACGAUACCAGAAGGUGGAUCAGAGCCACUUAGCGUAAAAAUCGCGGAGGAACACGGAAAACAAAAAGCGGCAUACUACGCUGGAUGGCAGGCUGGUUACAAUCAGAGCAGAGGAGAACGUCUGUAUCCGACCAGGAAUAAAUACCAGCGUUAUGCACAUUACCUUUAUUAAAAGAAGAACGCAAUUUCUUGUUCGGUACUCAUUGUUACCCUUAUAGUUAUGCUACCAUGAAUUCCUAUUGAUGUAAUGAGAUUGGCAUGAUUAAGUGCGCUUAUACCAGCACAAUUGUUACCACUUUUAUUGUAAUUCGAAAAAAGGGAUUUAUAAAGAUAAGGAAAACAAAUUUUGCUUUUUGAUUAAAUCUUUUAAGAUUGCUUCGUUUUUUCUUAAUGAUCUUAUCCUAGUUCAAUUUCAUUUUUUUGUUUAAUACAAAUUGUACAGUUUCUUAGAAUUGAACCUAAUUUUUUCACAAAGCAAAACUGUUUGUAAUUAAAUAAAAAAAUCACACAAUUUGCUCAACAAAUGUAAACGAGUACUUUGUAAUUUAUCAGAAAACCAAUCUAUAAUUCUAAAGUUCUUUUCUAAAGAAAAAGAAACUUUAGAUACAAUUUUACUGUUUUAAAAAUAUUCCUUGAAUAUUUGUAUAAUAAUACAAUUUAACACUUUGACCUAAAAUAUAGGAAACAUUCAUUUAAUCUUGUAUUGUAUUGGAGAUAAUAGCUUAAAAGAUUAAUUAAAAUAAACAUAAGUUUCUGAUAUUUUUAGAGUCAAUGUGCUGAAUAAGAAAAAAGAGAUAUUUGUGGAUUUUAAAUUGAAUAAUUAAGUUGUAAUUACUUUUACAACUUUAAAUAAUUAGAUGACUCCUUGCAAACGUUGCAUAAUUUUUACAAUUGUCUGUUAUCUGAUGGCCUGUUCAUCGUGUUCACUAAUAUUGACUUUAGUGAACUAUAUAGAUAGUGAAAAUAUGUAUAGAUAUUCAUCCUGUAAAACAAUUGGGACAAUUAGUUAAAUAAAUUAUAUUGUCUUAAAAAAUUGAUGGAUGAAAUUGUAGAUGAAUUUAGUUGUCAUAAAGACAAUUUGAAUAAUAGACGAGCGAAUAGGCUUAAAAAGUGUUGUCGAGUCAUAUUUAAUAAAUUGUUGCUAAAGUAACAAUAUUGAACGAUAAAAAUUGUGAUCGAUUGGAAGCAUGAUGACAAUUUUUUCAUAUAUGAAGUUAAAAUCUUCGCUGUUACUUAUUUUUAUCGCUAUAUAUAUAGAUUUAAGUAUAUAUACAUGUGUCUGCAUAUAUAUAUAUAUAUAUAUAUAUAUAUAUAUAUAUAUAUAUAUAUAUAUCUCAGUUAAAAAAAUGUGAAUUUCGAAGUUAAUUGGAAUAUAUAAGAAAUAUUUGUAUCUCCUGUGACCCUGACAAUCGUUCCUUUUUUAGUCGGUUUUUUGCGACCGUAUUAAAUCUUUACAAAUGAUUAGGACAUGAAUGCUUUUGAUAUAGUCCGUAAUAAUAUAAUAAAAUAAUAAAUCCUAAUAGAAAGUAUCUUGCUCGUAUAUUAAUAAUACGUUCAAGUGCAUGAUAUGAUUAAAAACAGGAGUGCAUAACCUUUUUUAACUUAAAUGACAUUUUUAUUGUAUUUUAUUUUAUUUCAUUUUACUUUAUUUUACUUAAAAGAAAUGAAUAAUAUAUGAAUAAUAUGACGAAUAUGAUUAGGUUUUUCAGAUUUUAUUUAGUUGAGUAGGAUUUGAUUUCUCAAGAAUAUUUUUUUUUUUUGAUUCUUCACAUAUAUUAAUAAUUAUGUAUUAAUUUUUAAUAAUAAAUUAAAAAUAAGUAAAUAUAAUAAAAAUUUAAAAAAAUUGUCAUUUUUAAAUAUAUUAGUCUUUUUAUUAUCAUUCAUCAUUAUCAUCAUCAUCAUCAUCAUCAUCAUCAUCAUCGUCAUCAUCAUCAUCAUUAUUGUAUAUUUGAACAAUUAAAAAUUAAUGAAAUUAAUAUAUUAUUGAUAAAAAAUGAUAGGUUGUGCACUCUCGAAUGAGAAAAAGAAAGAAAAAAUAAAAACUUAAAUCUUGUUAGGAAUUUAAUAUUGCGAAUGCGCUGGUAUUUGAACCCCUUUCCAUACAACUAAUGUCUGUUGUAAAAUUUCUAUCACUAUGAAAUUUCAAUUGGAGAAAUACAAUAAUUAGUGAUCGUAACGAUUUGGAUAAAAAAGGAAUGGUGAAAGAAACAGGAAACUAAUUAGUAUUUAAGUCAAUCCAGUUAAUGAGUGCUGGAGGUGGUCUAGGCGGUGGAGGAAGAGGCAGAGGUAUUGGAGGUCCGCCAGGAAUGGGCAUAGGUAUUAGUGGAGGUGGACCAGGAAUGUUAGGAAGAGCAGGAGGUGGUUUCGGGCCGCGUGGCGGGCCACACGGCAGCUUUCUUGGCGGAAGUGGCGGUCCAGGCGCUAUGAGGAUGGAAAAAAUUCAUCCACAUCGCUUUAAUCCUAUUGG